CAAAUUUCAUUCAUACAUUGAUUAUCCAAGGCCGAUAUAUACAAAGAAUUCCAAGUUUGAUUAUCCAAGGCCGAUAUAUACAAAGAAUUCCAAGUUUGACUAGUGUUACAAACAGUUGACUUCCGGCCAACUCAUCGACCCAACUCAAUGAACCUACAUUGGUCAACAUAAAUCUAAUCCAUCUUGUUCCAUGUCUACUUCCUCCAAGCCUAAUUUCUUCAAAGAAAAAAAACAUUUAUACUUGUUAAUACGAUAACUACAAAGUCGGCCAAGGCAUGUUUACCCACAAUGUUCAUGCUCAUACCAUACCCUUUCAUGUUUACUCCAAAUAUUCCAAACAGAUUCAAGCAUAUAGAAAUACACAUGAUUAGAGAAUUCAUACAUGCAUGUCCAUAUGUCACAAUUCCAUCUCAUAAUCAUACUUAUUACAAACAUGACUUACAACCAUUUACAAAGAUUCAAAAGGCUAGGACAGUUACAACCAUUUACAAAGAUUCAAAAGGAAAGUCCUAGCCUAUGAUCCAAGGACGUGAGUACAUGUCAGGAGCAAAUGUUCAAGCUUGAAACAGCAAG
rnacentral:lncRNA from 1 species